AGUGAACGCUGGCGGUAGGCCUAACACAUGCAAGUCGAACGGCAGCACAGUAAGAGCUUGCUCUUACGGGUGGCGAGUGGCGGACGGGUGAGGAAUACAUCGGAAUCUACUUUUUCGUGGGGGAUAACGUAGGGAAACUUACGCUAAUACCGCAUACGACCUACGGGUGAAAGCAGGGGAUCUUCGGACCUUGCGCGAUUGAAUGAGCCGAUGUCGGAUUAGCUAGUUGGCGGGGUAAAGGCCCACCAAGGCGACGAUCCGUAGCUGGUCUGAGAGGAUGAUCAGCCACACUGGAACUGAGACACGGUCCAGACUCCUACGGGAGGCAGCAGUGGGGAAUAUUGGACGAUGGGCGCAAGCCUGAUCCAGCCAUACCGCGUGGGUGAAGAAGGCCUUCGUGUUGUAAAGCCCUUUUGUUGGGAAAGAAAAGCAGCAGGUUAAUACCCCGCUGUUCUGACGGUACCCAAAGAAUAAGCACCGGCUAGCUUCGUG
rnacentral:rRNA from 1 species